rnacentral:rRNA from 1 species
UACGUAGGUGGCAAGCGUUGUCCGGAAUUAUUGGGCGUAAAGCGCGCGCAGGCGGUCCUUUAAGUCUGAUGUGAAAGCCCACGGCUCAACCGUGGAGGGUCAUUGGAAACUGGGGGACUUGAGUGCAGAAGAGGAAAGCGGAAUUCCACGUGUAGCGGUGAAAUGCGUAGAUAUCUGGAGGAAUACCGGUGGCGAAGGCGGCAUCCUGGACCGGCAUUGACGCUGAACAGCGAAAGCUAGGGGAGCAAACGGG